rnacentral:rRNA from 1 species
GACAGAGGGUGCGAACGUUGCUCGGAAUUACUGGGCGUAAAGGGCGCGUAGGCGGCACUGUUAGUCAGGCGUGAAAUUCCUGGGCUCAACCUGGGGACUGCGCUUGAUACGGCAGAGCUAGAGGAUGGAAGAGGCUCGCGGAAUUCCCAGUGUAGAGGUGAAAUUCGUAGAUAUUGGGAAGAACACCGGUGGCGAAGGCGGCGAGCUGGUCCAUUACUGACGCUGAGGCGCGACAGCGUGGGGAGCAAACAGG